rnacentral:rRNA from 1 species
GGCGUGGCUUCCGGAGCUAACGCGUUAAAUCGACCGCCUGGGGAGUACGGCCGCAAGGUUAAAACUCMAAUGAAUUGACGGGGGCCCGCACAAGCGGUGGAGCAUGUGGUUUAAUUCGAUGCAACGCGAAGAACCUUACCUGGUCUUGACAUCCACAGAACUUWSCAGAGAUGGUUUGGUGCCUUCGGGAACUGUGAGACAGGUGCUGCAUGGCUGUCGUCAGCUCGUGUUGUGAAAUGUUGGGUUAAGUCCCGCAACGAGCGCAACCCUUAUCCUUUGUUGCCAGCGGUUCGGCCGGGAACUCAAAGGAGACUGCCAGUGAUAAACUGGAGGAAGGUGGGGAUGACGUCAAGUCAUCAUGGCCCUUACGACCAGGGCUACACACGUGCUACAAUGGCAUAUACAAAGAGAAGCGACCUCGCGAGAGCAAGCGGACCUCAUAAAGUAUGUCGUAGUCCGGAUUGGAGUCUGCAACUCGACUCCAUGAAGUCGGAAUCGCUAGUAAUCGUAGACCAGAAUGGUUCGGUGAAAACCCUCCCUGGCUUCUUUCACGCCCCCCUUUACUUAGUUCGUACCUAGCUCUCAUUAGUCCCU